UACGAAGGGAGCUAGCGUUGUUCGGAAUCACUGGGCGUAAAGCGCACGUAGGCGGAUGUGUCAGUCAGGGGUGAAAUCCCGGAGCUCAACUUCGGAACUGCCUUUGAUACAGCACAUCUGGAGUCCGGAAGAGGUGGGUGGAAUUCCUAGUGUAGCGGUGAAAUGCGCAGAUAUCAGGAAGAACACCCGUGGCGAAGGCGGCUCUCUGGGACGGUACUGACGCUGAGACGCGAAAGCGUGGGGAGCGAACAGG
rnacentral:rRNA from 1 species